rnacentral:rRNA from 1 species
GACGAACGCUGGCGGCGUGCUUAACACAUGCAAGUCGAACGGUGAAGGGGUCUGCUUUUGUGGGCCCUGGAUGAGUGGCGAACGGGUGAGUAACACGUGAGUAACCUGCCCCCUUCUUCUGGAUAACCGCAUGAAAGUGUGGCUAAUACGGGAUAUUCUGGGUCUGUCGCAUGAUGGGUCUGGGAAAGAUUGCGCCUUUGGGUGUUUUUGGUGGGGGAUGGGCUCGCGGCCUAUCAGCUUGUUGGUGGGGUGAUGGCCUACCAAGGCGGUGACGGGUAGCCGGCGUGAGAGGGUGGACGGUCACACUGGGACUGAGACACGGCCCAGACGCCUACGGGAGGCAGCAGUGGGGAAUAUUGCACAGUGGGCGCAAGCCUGAUGCAGCGACGCCGCGUGAGGGAUGGAGGCCUUCGGGUUGUAAACCUCUUUCGCCAGUGAAGCAGGCCUGCUCCUUGUGGGUGGGUUGACGGUAGCUGGAUAAGAAGCGCCGGCUAACUACGUG